UACGUAGGGCGCAAGCGUUGUCCGGAAUUAUUGGGCGUAAAGAGCUCGUAGGCGGUUUGUCACGUCGGAUGUGAAAGCCCGGGGCUUAACCCCGGGUCUGCAUUCGAUACGGGCAGGCUGGAGUUCGGUAGGGGAGACUGGAAUUCCUGGUGUAGCGGUGAAAUGCGCAGAUAUCAGGAGGAACACCGGUGGCGAAGGCGGGUCUCUGGGCCGAUACUGACGCUGAGGAGCGAAAGCGUGGGGAGCGAACAGG
rnacentral:rRNA from 1 species